UACGUAGGGGGCAAGCGUUGUCCGGAUUUAUUGGGCGUAAAGCGCUCGCAGGUGGCCCGAUGCGUCGUGCGUGAAAGACCCCGGCUCAACUGGGGGCGGUCGUGCGAUACGGUCGGGCUGGAGGCCAGUAGGGGGAUGCGGAAUUCCGGGUGUAGUGGUGAAAUGCGUAGAGAUCAGGAAGAACACCCGUGGCGCAAGCGGCCACCUGGCAGAGUUCUGACGCUGAGGCACGAAAGCGUGGGGAGCGAACCGG
rnacentral:rRNA from 1 species